ACCAUGCAAGUCGAACGGGAUCCGCCAAGCUUGCUUGGUGGUGAGAGUGGCGAACGGGUGAGUAAUGCGUGACCAACCUGCCCCAUGCUUCGGAAUAGCUCCUGGAAACGGGUGGUAAUGCCGGAUGCUCCGCAUCAUCGCAUGAUGGUGUGGGAAAGGGUUUACCGGCAUGGGAUGGGGUCGCGUCCUAUCAGCUUGUUGGCGGGGUGAUGGCCUGCCAAGGCUUCGACGGGUAGCCGGCCUGAGAGGGCGACCGGCCACAUUGGGACUGAGAUACGGCCCAGACUCCUACGGGAGGCAGCAGUGGGGAAUAUUGCACAAUGGGCGCAAGCCUGAUGCAGCGACGCCGCGUGCGGGAUGACGGCCUUCGGGUUGUAAACCGCUUUUGAUUGGGAGCAAGCGAGAGUGAGUGUACCUUUCGAAUAAGCACCGGCUAACUACGUGCCAGCAGCCGCGGUAAUACGUAGGGUGCAAGCGUUAUCCGGAUUUAUUGGGCGUAAAGAGCUCGUAGGCGGUUCGUCGCGUCUGGUGUGAAAGUCCAUCGCUUAACGGUGGAUCGGCGCCGGGUACGGGCGGACUGGAGUGCGGUAGGGGAGACUGGAAUUCCCGGUGUAACGGUGGAAUGUGUAGAUAUCGGGAAGAACACCGAUGGCGAAGGCAGGUCUCUGGGCCGUCACUGACGCUGAGGAGCGAAAGCGUGGGGAGCGAACAGGAUUAGAUACCCUGGUAGUCCACGCCGUAAACGGUGGAUGCUGGAUGUGGGGCCCGUUCCACGGGUUCCGUGUCGGAGCUAACGCGUUAAGCAUCCCGCGUGGGGAGUACGGGCCGCAAAGCUAA
rnacentral:rRNA from 1 species